rnacentral:rRNA from 1 species
UACAGAGGGUGCGAGCGUUGUUCGGAAUUAUUGGGCGUAAAGGGCGCGUAGGCGGUGCGGUAAGUCACUUGUGAAAUCUCCUGGCUCAACUGGGAGCUUGCAGGCGAAACUGCCGUGCUGGAGUGUGGGAGAGGUGCGUGGAAUUCCCGGUGUAGCGGCGAAAUGCGUAGAUAUCGGGAGGAACACCUGUGGCGAAAGCGGCGCACUGGACCACAACUGACGCUGAGGCGCGAAAGCUAGGGGAGCAAACAGG